UACGUAGGUGGCAAGCGUUAUCCGGAAUUACUGGGCGUAAAGCGCACGCAGGCGGUCUUUUAAGUUUGACGUGAAAGCUCCCGGCUUAACUGGGAGAGGUCGUUGAAGACUGGAAGACUUGUGGCAAUGAGAGGGGUGUAGAAUUCCCGGUGUAGUGGUGGAAUGCGUAGAUAUCGGGGGGAAUACCAGUGGCGAAAGCGGCACCCUAGCGUUAGCCUGACGCUCAUGUGCGAAAGCGUGGGGAGCGAACGGG
rnacentral:rRNA from 1 species